rnacentral:rRNA from 1 species
AGCUUUAGGGCUAGCCUCAAGGUGAGAGAUACGGAGGUAGAGCACUGAAUGUCCUAGGGGGUAUUGCACCUACCGAAGACUAUCAAACUCCGAAUGCCGUCAUCUUAUACUUGGGAGUCAGACUGUGGGUGAUAAGAUUCAUAGUCGAAAGGGCAACAGCCCAGAUCGUCAGCUAAGGUCCCUAAAUGUAAGUUAAGUGGUAAAGGAUGUGGGAUUGCACAGACAACCAGGAUGUUGGCUUAGAAGCAGCCACUCAUUCAAAGAGUGCGUAAUAGCUCACUGGUCGAGUGAUCCUGCGCCGAAGAUUUCCGGGGCUAAAACUUACUACCGAAGCUACGGCAUCAGUAAUGAUGGGUAGGGGAGCUUCCCAUACGGGUUGAAGCAUGACCGUAAGGACAUGUGGACAGUAUGGGAGUGAGAAUGUUGGCAUGAGUAGCGAGAUGUGGGUGAGAAUCCCACAGGCCGUAAACCCAAGGUUUCCAGGGGAAGGUUCGUCCGCCCUGGGUUAGUCGGGACCUAAGCUGAGGCCGAAAGGCGUAGGUGAUGGACAACAGGUUGAUAUUCCUGUAC